UGCGGGGUGGAGCAGUCUGGUAGCUCGUUGGGCUCAUAACCCAAAGGUCGUCAGUUCAAAUCUGACCCCCGCUACCA
rnacentral:tRNA from 1 species